rnacentral:lncRNA from 1 species
UAAAACGAUAAAUAAUAAAAAAAAAAGAUUAGUGAAAAUAUUGGAAAUGUUAGUUAAGAUGGCAUUAUGUCGUUAUCCGAAAGCUUACGGACUAAUGACUUAAGAUAGUGACAGGCAUCUGUUUAUGUAAGCAGUUCUUUUCUUUUCUGUUUCUAUCUCUGUUCCUUCUAAACUACUUUUUUUUUUCAUUUUUUACUUUUUUUUUAUCUUUUUCAAGAAGAGAUCGUAUAGAACAACUUUGUUGGAUCAUAAUUAAAUAUAGAGUAACUUCAUUUGUUUCCUAAGAUCUCUCUAGUCUUGAUUCUUUAGUUUUGACAUUUUAUUGGUUUUGUCAUAUGAGAAAUAAUACUCUCUUAAUUAGUUAAACCUUAGAAAGUUUAACUAAAUGCUUUGGCAUGGCAGUGUUGCUGGUUUUGCGUGUGGAAACCUUAUUGGUGCUAAGACAGCUUUUGCUUUUUGUGGUGUGUGCGUGGAGGAAACCUUGGAUUGGUGAUUCAACAACGUUGUGCCUUUGGUUCGGUGCAGUGUGUUCGGUUUUUGGUGCGUGCGAGGUGGGUCUUGGAUUCUCGUCGCAUUUGGGCGGUGCUUUGUCGGUGGGGUUGUUCUUGUUGUUGGCUGGCGUUCUGGUUCUUGUUUGAGGGUUGUUGUCUUGGGUUUGGUUUCCUGGUCGGUGUUUCUUGUUUUGUUUCGGGGUCGGUUUGGGAGGUGCUGGCGCUUCUCUUUGGGUGGGGCGUUGGUUGUUUAGGUUCCAAGAGUCCAAGCGGCUACUUUUGCUUCUCUUGGGCGAAUAGGUUUGGAUUUUCAAAUUAAGAACUAAGCGCUGGUGUGCGGCCAGUGCGAAGGGUUUCGGAAUUGCGUUCUUGUUCCUGUCCAAGCUGGUGCGUGGCUGGUCUUGUGCAUUAUAGUGAAGGUUUCAAGGUAACACGUGUGGUGCUGCAGGAGGUGCUGGUGUGUGGCCGUGUGUGGUCCACUUUGGAGGCGUAGAUUGGUAGCAUUUGAGAAUGGUAGAGUUCUUUGUGGGUUUAGUCAUCCGAUGUGGCUGUUUGAAGGAUAGAGAUGUGGCUCCUAUUAAGAAAGUAAUGACGUGUUAAUGGAAAACAUUUGCUUAAGUUUUCGGCAGCACAUGUCAUAUUCGUUUGUCCCAAGUAUCGAAACAUAGUUAUUGAAUCUACAGGUCUGAUUAUUUUAUCUAAGAAUAAUCUCUCACAUACAAUAAUUUAUCUAAAAAGUUGCGGUAUGGGAAUGGGAAUGGGAAGACUACUAGACCGUGGAAAACAACAAUAUUCUUUAAUAUAGGUGGAAGACUUAGACUCUGGAAAACAACAAUAUUCUUUCUUGGAAGAGUUUCUAUGAAUUUGAGUUUUUUUUAGAAAACAUAUAAUUGAAUCUUAACGAUAGAUUUAUUGCGGUUAUUUCUUGAUCUUUUAAGAUUAUUUGCUUGAACUUUAUGUAAUGGAGUGUGUCUGGAUUAAUGAGAUUCUUG